UACGUAGGGUGCGAGCGUUAAUCGGAAUUACUGGGCGUAAAGCGUGCGCAGGCGGUAAUGCAAGACAGAUGUGAAAUCCCCCGGGCUUAACCUGGGAACUGCAUUUGUGACUGCAUUGCUGGAGUGCGGCAGAGGGGGAUGGAAUUCCGCGUGUAGCAGUGAAAUGCGUAGAUAUGCGGAGGAACACCGAUGGCGAAGGCAAUCCCCUGGGCCUGCACUGACGCUCAUGCACGAAAGCGUGGGGAUCAAACAGG
rnacentral:rRNA from 1 species